AUGAACGCUAGCGACAGGCUUAACACAUGCAAGUCGAGGGGCAGCACAGGUAGCAAUACCGGGUGGCGACCGGCGCACGGGUGAGUAACGCGUAUGCAACUUACCUAUCAGAGGGGGAUAACCCGGCGAAAGUCGGACUAAUACCGCAUGAAGCAGGGGCCCCGCAUGGGGAUAUUUGCUAAAGAUUCAUCGCUGAUAGAUAGGCAUGCGUUCCAUUAGGCAGUUGGCGGGGUAACGGCCCACCAAACCGACGAUGGAUAGGGGUUCUGAGAGGAAGGUCCCCCACAUUGGUACUGAGACACGGACCAAACUCCUACGGGAGGCAGCAGUGAGGAAUAUUGGUCAAUGGGCGUAAGCCUGAACCAGCCAAGUCGCGUGAGGGAUGAAGGUUCUAUGGAUCGUAAACCUCUUUUAUAAGGGAAUAAAGUGCGGGACGUGUCCCGUUUUGUAUGUACCUUAUGAAUAAGGAUCGGCUAACUCCGUGCCAGCAGCCGCGGUAAUACGGAGGAUCCGAGCGUUAUCCGGAUUUAUUGGGUUUAAAGGGUGCGUAGGCGGCCUUUUAAGUCAGCGGUGAAAGUCUGUGGCUCAACCAUAGAAUUGCCGUUGAAACUGGGGGGCUUGAGUAUGUUUGAGGCAGGCGGAAUGCGUGGUGUAGCGGUGAAAUGCUUAGAUAUCACGCAGAACCCCGAUUGCGAAGGCAGCCUGCCAAGCCAUGACUGACGCUGAUGCACGAAAGCGUGGGGAUCAAACAGGAUUAGAUACCCUGGUAGUCCACGCAGUAAACGAUGAUCACUAGCUGUUUGCGAUACACUGUAAGCGGCACAGCGAAAGCGUUAAGUGAUCCACCUGGGGAGUACGCCGGCAACGGUGAAACUCAAAGGAAUUGACGGGGGCCCGCACAAGCGGAGGAACAUGUGGUUUAAUUCGAUGAUACGCGAGGAACCUUACCCGGGUUUGAACGCAUUCGGACCGAGGUGGAAACACCUUUUCUAGCAAUAGCCGUUUGCGAGGUGCUGCAUGGUUGUCGUCAGCUCGUGCCGUGAGGUGUCGGCUUAAGUGCCAUAACGAGCGCAACCCUUGCCACUAGUUACUAACAGGUGAUGCUGAGGACUCUGGUGGGACUGCCAGCGUAAGCUGCGAGGAAGGCGGGGAUGACGUCAAAUCAGCACGGCCCUUACAUCCGGGGCGACACACGUGUUACAAUGGCGUGGACAAAGGGAAGCCACCUGGCGACAGGGAGCGAAUCCCCAAACCACGUCUCAGUUCGGAUCGGAGUCUGCAACCCGACUCCGUGAAGCUGGAUUCGCUAGUAAUCGCGCAUCAGCCAUGGCGCGGUGAAUACGUUCCCGGGCCUUGUACACACCGCCCGUCAAGCCAUGGGAGCCGGGGGUACCUGAAGUCCGUAACCGAAAGGAUCGGCCUAGGGUAAAACUGGUGACUGGGGCU
rnacentral:rRNA from 1 species